rnacentral:rRNA from 1 species
CAUAGCGCGACGGACCCACCUGAACCCAUGCCGAACUCAGAAGUGAAACGUUGUAGCGCCGAUGGUAGUGUGGGGUCUCCCCAUGCGAGAGUAGGACACUGCCAGGC